CGCAGCUUGCGCUCUUUGGUAUUCCAAAGAGCAUGCCUUUUUGAGUGUCGUUAAUCUUCUCCAAAUGUGAUUUUUUUGUAUUAAAAUCUCACACGAGGGUCCUUGGGAUUGAUUCGCGUUGCCGUGAAUCUUUCCUUAAAUAGAUGAGCUGAAGAUCAGUCAGGUUGCUAAGGCAAUGUAUGAACCUGCGUAAAAUGGUCUUUGCUUCUAAUCACACAAAUAUUAACUUUACUGGCCUCAAAUAAGGUAGGACUACCCGCUGAACUUAA
rnacentral:misc_RNA from 1 species